ACCACAUCCAGCCAGGUCGCAUUGUCGGUGAACAUUAACUUCCCAAUUUGAAUUGCUUGCGUUUAAGAAGGUGAUGGGCUUUCAUUCAGCUUCUUAAUUGCAACACUCCAGCUGCGAUUUGUACUUGCCACACUCCAGCGGUGAUUCCGGCAUGCUCUCUGGCAGGUAUGUUCUUUCGAUUUUCUGCCAACUAUUUCUGAUUAAUUGUCAUGCCUCAAACAGAAAAAGUGCCAAAAUACUCUGCGUGGGAGUGAUAUGAAUGUUUAACAACUUAACUUUUAAAUUAAGGCUAAAGAUUAGAGACUCAAAAAAUAAAUAUUGGGCAUAAAUGCCAUGGGUAAAAUAAAUAUUUAGAUUGGGGUAUAACUCUAUUAACCACCGGAUUAAAGGAAGGAGGUCAGGUUUCUCGUAAUUUAAGGAUGUCCAUGAAAUAGAUUUAGUACUAUGAAAUAGAUUUAGAUAUCCUCAACAAGCGUGAGGCCGUGAAACUAUCCUGAUUGUUUUCAACUGCAGGCUUCACCAAAUUUCAUCUCUUCUUGUUAAAAGAGCAUUAGGAGAUUUAUUCUGCUAAUACAGUUUAGUCCAACCCCGGUGUAUAAUGUACAAAACCUUUUCUUACUACAAUCUGGAAGCAAUUCUUAGUGAUAUGUCGUUCAUGUAUGAUCCAAUCAGGCAUUAAAGUUUAUACAGCAGCAGCUGCAGCAGAAAGCUUGCGAUCGUAGGAGUCCCAGACUAAUAGAUAAAUGUAUAGUCUCUUCACAAAAUUUGAUUACACAAGUCACUCCAUUGUGUUUCUGGCCACCAAGUCAUUUGGUUGAGCGUUUUGUUAAAGCAUCAGCACAGUAAUGACACCUGUGAACAAAAGGACAGAGAUGCAGCAAUUUGAGGAAAACAGAAUGCAUGCAAAGAACUAGAUCCUUCUGAAAUGAAUAAGGCGACAAGUGAACUAUAGAUUGACAAAAGAGUAGAAAAUACUGAACUUACAAAACAAAAAUAUAGAGAAAACAACUACAACACACAUAGCAUAAACAAAAAUUUGAAGGAAAAAAAGAUCCACCGGUAAAAUACUAAAUACGGAGACUUCUGAAGCACAAACUUAUUGUAAUUGUUGAUUAUAAUAUGAAGCAUGUCAAUCACUAAUUCUUCAAGAGGAAGCAGUGACAUAUCUGGGAAAGUUCAAUCUGCCAAAAUAUCAAGACAAUCUCAAGAUAUCAUAUGAGUUAGCAGGAUUCUAACUAUCUAUUAAUGCAACUUAAUGUUAACUUUAUAAUGGAACUUUUGUAAAGCCUCACAACAUUCUAUAUGCAUUGGAAGCUAAUUGUAACCUAUACAAUGUCUAGGUAAUCGGAGAAACAGGCAAACAGAACAAAAAACAUUUAAAUACAAGAAUUAUUAUCCUUAAGAGAGAUUAUCUCAGCAAGUAGCUCAGGGUCUGAAAAACAAGCAGGUGUUUAUCUUAAAAAGGUUCCAAUCAUUAAUGUUUUGGCAGUCAUUGUAAAUCUGAACAACAACGAAAAUUGUAAACUAUUGACUUUGUGUAUCUGAUGAAUAAUAAUUUAUAUGUCCACCUACUGCCACCUUAUUUGUGUGUGCCGUUGUUAGCUCUUUGGUUAUGACCGCUGACAAGAGGAAGAAGCCUUUUUGCGAUUAAAUGUCCUUCUUCCAUGUCCAUAUGUAUGGUCGAAUAAAUUUCGCUCUUAAUUGAUUUAGUCUUACCAGUUAUGUAUCCCAUUUUGUAGCCUCACCUGUUAGCUGUACUUCCGAUUGCUCCUUUCGUUCGUCAACUGCUUCCAACAACUACAUCGACUGCCUGUCC
rnacentral:lncRNA from 1 species